rnacentral:lncRNA from 1 species
AAGAAAAACACAAAAUUAUGCCAUAUUCAUGAAAUACGGUAUUGCAUAUUAUUGAAACUGUCCCAACAAAUGUCAUAUUCAUGGAUCCAAACAAAUCUUCCAAGGAUGCUAUUGACUAAAAAGAAGCAGGUCAACAAUGUAGAACACCAUUUGAUAAAGACCUGAGAUAGGACAGUGAGAACAGAAGUAAACACGGGCACUUAUUUCAAAGCAGAGUCAACAGGGAUCAGCAAAAGAAUGAAGGGAAUCAGGAGGACUCCAGUGAUGACACUCAGCCCAUCUAGAUGAUCGAGGACAACAUACCUGGUUAUUGAGCUCCACUGAGCAGCAACUUGAGCUCAGUCUGUGUAUUCAGUUGCCCUUUGCAAUGCAUCGACGUAUUAGUUUCUGGAAAUUAAGAUAGUUUUGAAGAAGGUAAUCAUCCUAGUUUUCUUUCUGUUACUGUGAUAAAGAUCAUGACUAAAAGCAACUUAGACAAGAAAGGAUUUAGUUCAUCUUAUCCUUCCAGGUCACCAUCCUUUACUGAGGGAAGUCAAGGCAAGGAUCUGAAGGUAGGGGCAUGGAGGAGAAUACAUGGAGGAAUGCUCUACCUGGCUCUUUCUUUGGCUAUUUCCUGUCUAGCUUUGAGAUAGCCCAACAUCACUUGCCUAAGAACAGUUCUACCCACUGUAGGCCAGGCCCUCACACAUCAAUCAUUAAGACAAUUUUUCAUAGACACAGUUGUGGGCAAAUUUGAUGGAGGUAAUUCAAGUGAACUUUCCUCUUCCUUGGUGUCUCUAGGUUGUAUCAAGUUGAUGAUAAAAAACUAACAAGGAUAGUACUGUUCUAGCUGUUAUCAUACAGGACAGUAGAAAGUUGUGAUUUAGUAAAAAAUUCAGUGAACUCUACCUCAGAGCUCUUAGCUUUUCCCUUUUCCCCUUUACCUAAACCAGUUUGAGGUGGGAUUUUUGUCCCUUGAAAUCAAAGUAUUCUGACCUCCAAGUAGUAGAGGAAAUGAAAAGAUAUGGAGGCACAAGAAGGCAGAGUUUUCUGCCAAUGUGAUUGUGAACCCUAGAAACUGUUGUAAUCUGUGUCCCAUUGCAUUGACAAAUCGCUGACCCAACACAACUUGAAGAGUUUAUUUCAGUUUACAGGUUAUAUUUAAUUCGUGAGAGCAGUCUGAACAGGAGCUCAGGGUAGAAACCUGAAGGCAGGAAUUAAAGCUGAGACCAAAGAGGAGUGCUCCUUACUGGCUUGAUUAGAUAUUUUCUCAUACAGCCCAGGUGUACCUGCUAAGGAAUGGUACUGCCCACAGUGGGCUGGGCCCUCCCAUAUCAACUGGCAAAAAGAAAAUGCCCAAUUGCCAUGCCUAUUGGCUGAUAUAAUGGAAGUAAUUCCUCAAUUGAGGUUUCCUCUUCCAAGGUUUCUCAAGUUGACAACUAUAUCUAACUAUGAGAGAAAUGAUGUUACAUGUGCAAGAAUGAGAGAAACUGAAAACUAAAGAACAGAGUUGGCUUGAGACAUAUUUACUUUGGAGAUUGAUUUCAAUAUCCAUGGUCAAUAAAUACUGCAUGAAUUAAGUUUAAAGUUUGGUGAAGUGGAGAUGCCAAAAUGCUUUGUAACAUUUAAAUGUUUUUUUUUUUUAAUCUUUAUCAUUGAUAGCUCACUACUGGUGUUUUGGUUAAGAAGGUUGUUUUACUACUAUAUUACUAUUUUUACCAGAGAUGAACCUAAAUUACUACAUUCUUGUCUUUAACAAACAUAGGUCUUAUUUGAAAAGUUACCUAAGCUUUAUGAUACAAGAGAAGACAUUUUCAUUGGGCAUGUUUGUUGGGCAGACUCUGGAUUGUAAUGUAAUUAAUCAUUUGUGUUUCUAAUCACAAACAAAAAUAAACUAUCAUUCAUAUUUUU